rnacentral:lncRNA from 1 species
UUACCGCCGCACGGCUCCCGGCCCCGUGGCGCGGCCGCCGGGUCCUGGCCCCGGUCGGGUUUGCCCGAGCGCCGUUCCCGUAGGCGCGGGAGCCUCCGAGCGCGGUCGCCGGGAACGUCUCCGGCUGCGGCGGCCCUGCCAAAGCCCGGAAUAUUUUUAGCUCUUUCUGUUGUUGGGUUUGGCUUCUCCUUUUUUUUUUUUUUAAAAAAAAAAAAAAAAAAGGCGAGUUUCUGCAGGGGUAUUUUUAGCCCGAUCCAUGUUAUUUUAACAGCCUCCUUUGCUUUCGGGCUCCCAUGUGUCGCCCAGACCCCGGCGGCGGGCGCGAGGGGCCGCCGAGCUGCGGGAACCCGUGCGGUCCCGUCCCCGCCGGGGAGCCCCUCCCGGUUAACGGCAGCCGGGGGGGACCCAGCCCGGGGCUGCCCCCCCCGGGGCUGCCGGCACAAAGCGAAACCGCCCCGGCCUCGGGCCCAAUCCUGCACCGCCUCCCGGCACCCCCGUGCCCCCCGUCUUCCAUCUCCUCGCAGGAACCCGAGCCGCCCCCCCCUGCCCUCGCACCCGUCGCGGCCCGGCCGUGCCCCCCGCCCUAAUCCAUGCACUAAUUGUAAUCCCAUUAAAGCAGAUAUAAUUUUAUUAGUAUUCACAGCUCAUCAAGGCGCUGCCGCCGUGCGACGGAGAGAAAAACGCCGGCGGGGAGCGGGAGGCCCAGGGCGGCACCGGCUGAGCGCCGGAUCCGGCCCCAGCUCCGUGCCCCCGAACCCGGCCCCGCUCCACGCACCCCGCUGGGACCCCCCCUGCUUUGCAGCCCCCCCUGCAGCCCCGCACGGCCGCGGCCGAGCGCUCAGCACCGCACACAAAGCCGCGGCAGGCGGCGGGGCCGCACCGGGGAUGCGCCGAGCCCGGCUCCGGUCCCGGGCACCGGCUGCAGCCGGUAACGGGAAGGUGGGAGCUGCAAAGCCGUCCUCCCCCCCGAGACGCGGGUGCAGGACCGGGUUUUAUUUUAUUUUUAUUUUUUUAUUUUUUUUUUUUCGCUGCGCAUAA